GUUUCGAUAGCUCAGUGGUAGAGCGAGAGAUUGCAGUUAUUUCUAGACAAGUUAUCUCUAGGUCACGUGUUCGAACCACGUUCGGAACU